rnacentral:pre_miRNA from 1 species
AUGAGGGCAAUCUAUCUAUAAGUAGGGUUAAAUUACACUUGAACAAAAUGAUCCUAGAUAGUUUUCCCUUCAAGUCAAGCGUCUUUU